CAAUAGCGUAUAUUAAAGUUGUUGCGGUUAAAAAGCUCGUAGUUGGAUUUCUGCUGAGAACGACCGGUCCGCCCUCUGGGUGUGUAUCUGGCUCUUUCUUGGCAUCUUCUUGGUGAACGUUGCUGCACUUGACUGUGUGGAGCGCUACCCAGGACUUUUACUUUGAGGAAAUUAGAGUGUUUCAAGCAGGCAUACGCCUUGAAUACAUUAGCAUGGAAUAAUAAGAUAGGACCUCGGUUCUAUUUUGUUGGUUUCUAGAGCUGAGGUAAUGAUUAAUAGGGAUAGUUGGGGGCAUUCGUAUUUAACUGUCAGAGGUGAAAUUUGAUUUGUUAAAGACGGACUACUGCGAAAGCAUUUGCCAAGGAUGUUUUCAUUGA
rnacentral:rRNA from 1 species